UACGAAGGGGGCUAGCGUUGCUCGGAAUCACUGGGCGUAAAGGGUGCGUAGGCGGGGCUUUAAGUCAGGGGGGAAAUCCUGGAGCUCAACUCCAGAACUGCCUUUGAUACUGAAGAUCUUGAGUUCGGGAGAGGUGAGUGGAACUGCGAGUGUAGAGGUGAAAUUCGUAGAUAUUCGCAAGAACACCAGUGGCGAAGGCGAGUCCCUGGACAACUCCUGACACUGAGGCACGAAAGCUAGGGGAGCAAACAGG
rnacentral:rRNA from 1 species